ACAUAAUGAUCACAAAUAUCAUUUUAUUCACAGGAAGAGAAGUAGCAAAGCUCUGAAGGGAGAAUUAUUUUUUUGCAGUUUCCCCCCAUUUCAUCGCUCGUGGUGGAUAUCCACAUGUUCCAGUACCCUAUUUCAAAAAGAUGAUCUUUUCUCCUUUGAGUUGCCUUGGUGCGUGUGUUGAAAAUCAAUUGGCUGAAAAUGAUCCCAGUUGAAGAAACAUGCUGUUCUCAUGGUGAAGGACAGAAACUCCAGAGAGCCGGAGCCAAUCUGUAAAGCAUAUUUAAAGUUUCUGCUUGGACAUCGUGUGUAUCACAUCUGCCUACAUCCAUUGUCAUACGGCCAAGGCCAAAGUCAAUUGAUGGGUAAUCUCAUACGGAACUCUGGCUUCAGCAGACUGCUCACCGAGGCAUCCUGUGUCAACAUUUGCAACUGAGAUGCCACGGAACUGUCCACUCAUAUCACCAGCCUGGCGUCUCUCCUGUGCUGCCGUAUGAAUCUCAAGGGCCGUCUUCUUUGCACCGAGCGGCAGAUGAUAUUGGUAGUGAAAACACAAAACACGGAGUCAAGAAGAACUGGUUGCUGCACAUGUCGGUCCUGCCGGGCACUAACAAGGCAAGGAAGCUGAAUAGAAAAACAACCUUCCUAAGCUCAAAGAAUGAAUGGCAAAGCCAGCAACCGUUGACUCGUCGAUGCCUGAGGCUGACUCUCAACCUGAGCCCUUCUCCACAAGACCCCAAGUGUCCAAGUAUCAGAGGCAGGCUCACUAACCUGUCGUGGGGCUCAAAUAGCCCCUGCUUCAUGGAUCACGCUGUCUACCUUCCUGGAGAGCUUGCUUCGGAUAAAUGUCUCUCCACUUCCCAAACUAGGAAGGAUGGAAAGGUAUUUACACUUUCAGUAACCUGUGUAUGGAUCCCACUGCUAUUUAAUUAAGACUUAAACCUAUAAAGAUGCACAUUUAAUACUCAGAGUAAACCCUUGACUUGUUUCCUUUGAAGAUAAACAGAGAGCGCGAGUGAGUGAGGGAGGGGCAAAG